CUACGGGCGGCAGCAGUGAGGAAUAUUGCACAAUGGGGGGAACCCUGAUGCAGCAACGCCGCGUGGAGGAUGACGCAUUUCGGUGUGUAAACUCCUUUUAUAUGUCAAGAAAAUGACGGUAGCAAAUGAAUAAGCACCGGCUAACUCCGUGCCAGCAGCCGCGGUAAUGCGGAGGGUGCAAGCGUUACUCGGAAUCACUGGGCGUAAAGGACGCGUAGGCGAGUUGGAAAGUCAGGUGUGAAAUCCUACAGCUUAACUGUAGAACUGCACUUGAAACUUCUAAUCUAGAGUAUGGGAGGGGGAGAUGGAAUUAGUGGUGUAGGGGUAAAAUCCGUAGAUAUCACUAGGAAUACCUAAAGCGAAGGCGAUCUCCUGGAACAUUACUGACGCUAAGGCGUGAAAGCGUGGGGAGCAAACAGGAUUAGAUACCCUGGUAGUC
rnacentral:rRNA from 1 species